GAUGAACGCUGGCGGCGUGCUUAACACAUGCAAGUCGAACGUGAAGCAUGAAAAAGUUCCAUCGUGUUCUUUUUUAUUGUGGAAAGUGGCGAACGGGUGAGUAACACGUAGGUGACCUGCCUCGGAGUGGGGGAUAACCAUUAGAAAUGAUGGCUAAUACCGCAUGCACCUAGAACAUCGGGAGUACUCUAGGUAAAACUCCGGUGCUCCGAGAGGGGCCUGCGCUCGAUUAGCUAGUUGGUGAGGUAAAGGCUCACCAAGGCGAUGAUCGAUAGCUGGUCUGAGAGGACGACCAGCCACACGGGAACUGAGACACGGUCCCGACUCCUACGGGGGGCAGCAGUGAGGAAUAUUGCACAAUGGGGGCAACCCUGAUGCAGCAACGCCGCGUGGAGGAUGAAGGUCUUUGGAUUGUAAACUCCUUUUCUGUGGGAAGAGCAAGGACGGUACCACAGGAAUAAGUCACGGCUAACUACG
rnacentral:rRNA from 1 species